rnacentral:rRNA from 1 species
UACAGAGGGUGCUAGCGUUAAUCGGAUUUACUGGGCGUAAAGCGUGUGUAGGCGGUUUGUUAAGUCGGGUGUGAAAUCCCUGGGCUCAACCUGGGAAUUGCAUUCGAUACUGGCAAGCUAGAGUACGGUAGAGGGCGGCGGAAUUCCGGGUGUAGCGGUGAAAUUCGUAGAUAUCAAGCGGAGCACCGGUGGCGAAGGCGGCCUUCUGGACGAUGACUGACGCUGAGACGCGAAAGCGUGGGGAGCAAACAGG